CAAUAGCGUAUACUAAAGUUGUUGCAGUUAAAAAGCUCGUAGUUGGAUUUCGGGUAGGAUUUGCCGGUCCGUCGUUACGAUGUGCACUGGCCAGUCCUAUCUUGUUGUCGGGGACUAGCUCCUUGGAUUCACUUCCUGGGACUAGGAGCUGACGAGGUUACUUUGAGUAAAUUAGAGUGUUCAAAGCAAGCCUACGCUCUGAAUACAUUAGCAUGGAAUAACACGAUAGGACUCUGGCUUAUCUUGUUGGUCUGUGAGACCAGAGUAAUGAUUAAGAGGGACAGUCGGGGACAUUCGUAUUUCAUUGUCAGAGGUGAAAUUCUUGGAUUUAUGAAAGACGAACUUCUGCGAAAGCAUUUGUCAAGGAUGUUUUCAUUA
rnacentral:rRNA from 1 species